GAUGAACGCUGGCGGCGUGCCUAAUACAUGCAAGUCGAGCGAACAGACGAGGAGCUUGCUCCUCUGACGUUAGCGGCGGACGGGUGAGUAACAAGUGGAUAACCUACCUAUAAGACUGGGAUAACUUCGGGAAACCGGAGCUAAUACCGGAUAAUAUAUUGAACCGCAUGGUUCAAUAGUGAAAGACGGUUUUGCUGUCACUUAUAGAUGGAUCAGCGCCGCAUUAGCUAGUUGGUAAGGUAACGGCUUACCAAGGCAACGAGGCGUAGCCGACCUGAGAGGGUGAUCGGCCACACUGGAACUGAGACACGGUCCAGACUCCUACGGGAGGCAGCAGUAGGGAAUCUUCCGCAAUGGGCGAAAGCCUGACGGAGCAACGCCGCGUGAGUGAUGAAGGUCUUCGGAUCGUAAAACUCUGUUAUUAGGGAAGAACAAAUGUGUAAGUAACUAUGCACGUCUUGACGGUACCUAAUCAGAAAGCCACGGCUAACUACGUG
rnacentral:rRNA from 1 species